AGUGAACGCUGGCGGUAGGCCUAACACAUGCAAGUCGAACGGCAGCACAGUAAGAGCUUUCUCUUACGGGUGGCGAGUGGCGGAUGGGUGAGGCAUACAUCGGACUCUACUUUUUCGUGGGUGAUAACGUAGGGACACCUACGCUAAUACCGCAUACGACCUACGGCUGCAAUCAGGGGAUCUUCGCACCUUGCUCGAUUGAAUGAGCUGAUGUCGGACUAGCUAGUCGGAGGGGUAAAGGCCCACCCAGUCGACGAUCCGUAGCUGGUCUGCGAGGAUGAUAAGCCACACGGGAACUGAGACACGGUACAGACUCCGACGGGAGGCAGCAGUGGGGAAUAUUGGAAAAGGGGCGGAAGCCUGAUCCAGCAAUACCGCGUGGGUGAAGAAGGAGUUAGGGUUGUAAAGCCCUUUUGUUGGGAAAGAAAAGCAGAAGGUUAAUACCCCGCUGUUCUGACGGUACCCAAAGAAUAAGCACCGGAUAAAUUCGUG
rnacentral:rRNA from 1 species